rnacentral:lncRNA from 1 species
GUGGGCGCCCAGAGGCCCAGCCGCACUGCCUCCGCGCCGGCUCCUAUUUCUUUAAAAUCAAAGCUUCGGGCCUACAAUUGCUGGGAUUGCAGCGCGGUAUUGAUCCGCAGCCGGCAUCAGGGCCCGCGGCCUCGCUGCCCAGCCCCCGCGGCCGGCCUGCGAAGCCCAGAGGCUGGGUUUCGGCACCGUGCACGCCGCCGCUGGUACCCGGCCACCCCUCCGGCCAGCGCGCGUGGGCUCCAGGCCCAGCCGACUAGGCCCCAUCUUCACUGGUUUUUUUCCUUCCUUCUUUUUUAAUUAGUGCAGGAAAAUAUACAUGGAAGCAAAAAAAAAAAAUCCGCCUCCCCCGCAGGCGCGGCCUUCUAAUGCACAGGGCCUGACAUCGACUUCCGCGCACGGAUCGAACCUUCGAUCGCGCCGAUUUGCAUAGCGGGCCCGCGCCCCGCCGCGCCCGACUCCACGCCGAGACCGCGCAGGCGAGGCCGGGCGCUCCCGGGCUCUGCCUUCCUCCCUCGGUGCCCGGGGGACCGGGCUGCUCACGGCCGCAGACGUGUGCGCGGGCGAGCGCGGAACGCGGCGGGAGACGAUCUCCGCCGGCACCGCGAAAGGAGCCGAGGGCGCCCAGGGCCCCGCCGCGGACCGCGCGGAGGACAGUGAAGAGAACGCACUCUCCUACCCUCAAAGAGGCGUCCAGGCGUACUUCCCUGAGUGUUCGUGGCUGAUACUGGUUCCGAACCUGUCUGGCCCUGAGCCUUUUCGUUUCUCCUGUUUUAUGCAGAUCACUCGAGCCACAGCAAAUUAUUGCUCAUUUGAUACCAAGAAUUCUAUUGACCACGGCUUUCGUUGGAGAGCGAAUUCUAACUACUGGCUGCUCUGUUGUCAGCUAGAGCUGAGGCUGGGAACCUUCCACAAGGCUGUGACGGCACACAGAGUCCUCUGCUCCAGGAAGUGCAGAGAUAACGCUGGUGUGUGUUGUCUGCCUGCACCCAAAGCGAUGGUGUUCCUGGAAUGCAAGCACCGCCCGCCAUGCUUGGAGCAUCCUGCCGCAGAGAGAACACUUUCUCCUGGUCUCAGCCCAGACUGACAGCCUGGGGGCCUCGUAGGACACUCGGCCAGAUGACACACACACAAGGGCACCCAGAACCUGUGUCGUGGGCUCCCGGGCAGCUGUGGAUCCAGGAGGCAGGCUGAGCAAGCCAGCAACACUCGCUGCCACUUGUCCAGAAAGCAAGAAAGCGGCAAUAUCCUCAGUGUUAUUUAAGGGAAAAAGACUGGGACCUGCACUGGAGUUUAAAAGUUAGGGGCGGGCUGCUCCCCAGCAUUUCUUUGGAAGGAGGCAGAACUGAGAGCUAUGCAGCUGGCUUGGCGCUUCAGCCCAUAGGAGAGGAGGAAAUUCUCCUCCUCCUCGCUGCACCUUGGAGCAGGUCCUCUGGCAGAGCUCUCGGCUCCCCAGCACCCCGUCAGCCUCCUGCCUCUCCUGCCAGGCCAAUGGAACCAGCAGAACUCGAUAGUAAAUUAUUUUGUUCAGCCCUCUGUCUUUUUAUGAAAAUAAAAGCCAACACUUUGUCAUUUUUAAUCACGUAAGCAGACAAUAAAUCCAAUUUCGAUAUUGAUUUUUUUUUCCAGAAUCAAGUGAUUUUUUGCAGUGUCUGUUGUGUUUCCUUUUGCGAAAAAGAGCCGCUGGC